UUCAUAUUAUAUUGCAAACUAUAUAAUCAAGCAAAAAAUGAUGUCAAAAAAAAAACUUAAGAAAUGACCCUCAUAUUUAAUCAAAUAUUCAAAUCUAGCUAAUAGAACCCCAGAUCAAAAGCAAAACCAGAACAUAUUUAGUCUCCUUGCAGCUGAACUACGUUGUGAAAUUAACUAGCAUUGCCUUUGGAGUUCAGACUCCAGUAUAUAUCGUUGUCUCCCUUCCCGUCAACUGCUUAUUCUUAUUCUUGAGCUACUUCAUAUACUAG
rnacentral:lncRNA from 1 species